UACGGAGGGUGCAAGCGUUGUCCGGAAUCACUGGGCGUAAAGGGCGCGUAGGCGGCUCGGUAAGUAGGGGGUGAAAUCCUGCGGCUUAACCGCAGGGCUGCCUUCUAAACUGUCGAGCUUGAGCACGGUAGAGGCAGAUGGAAUUCCCGGUGUAGCGGUGGAAUGCGUAGAGAUCGGGAAGAACAUCAGUGGCGAAGGCGGUCUGCUGGGCCGUUGCUGACGCUGAGGCGCGACAGCGUGGGGAGCAAACGGG
rnacentral:rRNA from 1 species